AUUGGCGAAAGCCAGAACCAGUCAUGCCGCGUGCAGGAUGAAGGCCCUACGGGUCGUAAACUGCUUUUAUUCGGGAAGAAAAAGUCUGUUUCCACAGACCUUGACGGUACCGAUUGAAUAAGGACCGGCCAACUCCGUGCCAGCAGCCGCGGUAAUACGGAGGGUCCAAGCGUUAUCCGGAUUCACUGGGUUUAAAGGGUGCGCAGGCGGCUAAGUAAGUCAGUGGUGAAAGCCUUCGGCUCAACCGGAGAAUUGCCAUUGAAACUACUUAGCUUGAGUGCAGUAGAGGUAGGCGGAAUGUAGCAUGUAGCGGUGAAAUGCAUAGAUAUGCUACAGAACACCGAUAGCGAAAGCAGCUUACCAUACUGUAACUGACGCUGAGGCACGAAAGCAUGG
rnacentral:rRNA from 1 species